GCUUAAGUGGUUUAGUGGUAAAAUCGCUGCUUGCCAUGCAGUGGCCCCGUGUUCGAUUCACGGCUUAAGCA
rfam:Sistotremastrum niveocremeum HHB9708 unplaced genomic scaffold SISNIscaffold_13, whole genome shotgun sequence.